GACGAACGCUGGCGGCGUGCUUAACACAUGCAAGUCGAACGGAAAGGCCCUGCUUUUGUGGGGUGCUCGAGUGGCGAACGGGUGAGUAACACGUGAGUAACCUGCCCUUGACUUUGGGAUAACUUCAGGAAACUGGGGCUAAUACCGGAUAGGAGCUCCUGCUGCAUGGUGGGGGUUGGAAAUUUUCGGCGGUUGGGGAUGGACUCGCGGCUUAUCAGCUUGUUGGUGGGGUAGUGGCUUACCGAGGCUUUGACGGGUAGCUGGCCUGAGAGGGUGACCGGCCACAUUGGGACUGAGAUACGGCCCAGACUCCUACGGGAGGCAGCAGUGGGGAAUAUUGCACAAUGGGCGGAAGCCUGAUGCAGCAACGCCGCGUGCGGGAUGACGGCCUUCGGGUUGUAAACCGCUUUCGCCUGUGACGAAGCGUGAGUGACGGUAAUGGGUAAAGAAGCACCGGCUAACUACGUG
rnacentral:rRNA from 1 species